AAAAUACAAUUCAUGAAUAUUUAGUGGUCAUCUGGACUUUUUUAAAAUUUAUGGAUGUUUACAGGGCGACCAUGUGUGUGCCUCCUUUUGUGCGAAGCUAAUGGUGCCACCUUGGGGUUUUGGUUUAUCCUAAAUAGUAGACAGAAUUAGAAAUGCUUGGCUAUGCACAUUUUAGGAUGCUCUCCAAGGCCUUGUCCUACAGGUAGAAUGGAGACCGGGAGACUCGCAUUUUUUGGACGGCCUAAUGAAGUCAAAGCGUCAUUUCUUUCGCUUUGGUUGCUUCCACAUCAAGAGCGGCUCUUAGAUUAGGUUUUGGGAGGGCAGAUGGCUGAAAUCUUUCUCUUAGAAGGCAAUCCAGGCCUCUUUCACAUUGUGUGCAACAAACAUGAUACGAUUGCAGAAGUUUUAAGCUUCCUUCUGAUGACUCCUUCAGGAGAGAUCUGGGCGGCCCCAAAUUGGAGAUGUGGAAUGCUCUUUUGCAGCGCCUAGGUAGCAUUAACCUUACACGAGAACACAACACUUCACUGAAACCUCCACCACAAUAGUUUUCUUUUCUAUGAAAUCGAUUUAUGAGGCUAUUGUGCAUUGCAAUGUGCCAUUUUGAAGAGUCGGCUGUGGAAACUCAGGAGUUUGAUAAAAAAAAAAAAGAUCCCUGUCUCUAUUAAAAAAAAUUAAAGGUCAUGCUUACAAAAUAUAACCUUAAAAGGCAAAAUUGGGGGAUAUCUCCAAUAUGUUUACAAAAUAUAACCUUAAAAGGCAAAAUUGGGGGAUAUCUCCAAGUUCAUGAUCCAUCUACGUAAGGUGGACCAUUUGUGCAUUCUUUUGGUUCCAUCGCUCAUUUGAAACAAGAAUUUUGGUCUCACAAAGUGUGGCUUACGGAUUCUCCAUCAUUAUCCUUUAUCGUGGACCAUUUGUGCCAGGUGGGUCGCUUGUGGAUGUGCCGCCAGCUCUAUUCUCCGAGCUGUCCGGUAGGGCGUCUAGAAUUCGGUGGCUCGGGCCUUGGACCAGAACAGUUGGCUUCGUGUGAUCCAUCCUUAGCUUUUCCAUAAGGCCCUCGUGGAACUUUUGCCGGUCGUCGAUUUCGUCAGUAGAAUGAAUCUUUAGAAGGAGGAUGGCCACUUUAGGUGGAAGUGGAGGAGCACUGGUCAAUACACUGCCUCCUCGGCCUAUGCUGUUUUUUUUUUCAAGGCCGCGAGCAUAGAGAGGGCGCCUCUGAAGUUUGAUGCUCAAGGGCACCAAGUUAAUGCAAAUUUUUCAUGUGGCUAGCUCUCAGAAACAAAUGUUGGACGAUGGAUAGACUUAUGAAGCGUGGUUUGCCAUAUCCGCCAUGUUGCCCGCUAUGCAAUCAGAACCAGAGAACCAUCGAUCAUCUGCUCCUUGGCUGCAUCGUUGCUAGACAGGUAUGGACCAUCUCGCUUCAUUGUUGGGACAAGCUAGGAUGGAUGCCUUCACCUCAUGAUUCGUUGGCAAGCUGGUGGAUUAGGUUGGAUGUCCGAGGCA
rnacentral:lncRNA from 1 species